rnacentral:lncRNA from 1 species
GCAGUCCCUUGACAGUAUAGUCGUUGUUGCAGGGGAUGCAUAUCUACAGAUAGUUAUAGUUGGUUAGUGAUAGUAUAGUGGUAUAUAGCUGUAGAGUUUUACCAACUUCCUUUACUAUCCUUCUGUAUACUUUCUGUAGACUUAGUAGGUGAGCCAUUGAGGUCGGUAGCGGUACCCACUGAGGAAUACAUCUUCUUACAGUAGUUCUCACAUGCAGUUGUUGACCCUUUUUUGCGGAGCCUUCUUCUGCGGCUACUGCCGUCGCCGAUACUGAUCGUUGAAAGAGAGUUGUGAGCUAGAUCCCUUCCCUGGUUGCAGUACUAGAGGAAUACCAACUGCAGAUAGUUUUAGUUUCUAGUUUAUGUACAUACUUAUGCUGUUACUCGCUGGAGUAAGAGAUGUUGUAUCAGGGAGACUUUGUAUGUAUGGUGAACCUGAUGUUUAUUUAUAUACAGUUCAGUUUAGUAGCUCUAUACUACUAGUUGUACUUUUAUAUGAUUACAGAUACAGGUACAGCUAUCGCUUCGUAUACAGAGAAAAUUCUUUUGUAUACGGUGGGUCUGUUGGCGUGCCCGAAGAAACGUGGUAAUUCGGGGCGUGGCAUUAUGAUUGAUAAUACUCCCAACAAUUAAGAUAUCACAUUACUUUUAUAUCAGCGAUACGUUAAUAUUUAAUUAACGAAAUAUGAUUGUUAGACUUCAUUACAACAAUUCUAAAAAAUUCAAACAAAAAAUUACAGCACAUUAAAAUUUGAGGACUUAUAUACCACUUGCUCAUAGUUUGAGGAUCAAACGUGCGAUUUACCCUCUUGUGAUAUUGAACAAUACUAUUAGUACACUCCAAAGAAGAAGGAAAAAAGUUUAGAAU